rnacentral:rRNA from 1 species
CAAUAGCGUAUAUUAAAGCUGUUGCGGUUAAAAAGCUCGUAGUUGGAUUUCUGUCAAGGACAGCUGGUCCGCCCUCCGGGUGAGCACAUAGUUUGGUCUUGGCAUCUUGCUGGAAACUGUUGCUGCACUUGGCUGUGUGGCGCAGCGUCCAGCACUUUCACUUUGAGGAAAUUGGAGUGUUUCAAGCAGGCACAUGCCUUUGGACACAGUAGCAUGGAAUAAUUAGAUUGGGCUUUUGCUCCAAUUUGUCGGUUUCUGGAGCUGAGGUGAGAAUUAAUGGGGAUUGUUGGGGGCAUCCGAAUUUAGCCGUCAGAGGUGAAAUUCUUGGAUCUGCUAAAGACGGACAACUGCGAAAGCGUUUGCCCAGGAUGUUUUCAUUGA